CCGCCGCCUAGUCCUGGGCGGGCGGCUCUGGGACCCGCGCUCCGAGCGUUCCUCCUCCGCUGCUGUCUCUGUUCCGGCUCCGGCUCACUGGGUCUUGGCCUCUUUCUCCAGCAAGGGCCGAUGCAGGGCAGCACCGACAGACAGACUGAUGAAUAGCCCGACGAAAAUCUGCCAGCCUGAGUUCGCAGAGCUUCUUUCGGCAGGGAAGUUCCCUCUCGAAAGUUUUGGUACCGCACCCAGGAGCCAUCGCACCCAGGAGCCGGAGCCGCAGCCGCCCGAGCCUCCCGAGCCGCCCGAGCCGCCCGAGCCUCCAGAACGGAAGCCGCUAGCCUGGGUCCAGAGGAGACCCUCUCAGAUUCUCGGUGUCCUGGGACCUUCGUUCCCCGCCAAGGAAUUAUUAGCGUCCUUUGUCUCUAACAGUUCCUUUAACCGAUCCAGCCAACCUGGGAGCGGGCCUGGCCCUGGACACUGAAGGGUCGGAGGCCGCUGGCGUUUGCUCCUCUGGAGGAUCCCGCUGGCCCAGGGGCGCACCCACCAGAGAUGAGAAAAGGCGUAGACUCUCCUAUUAAUAGCCCUUCCCUUGCGGACUAUAACCCAGACCAAAACGAACGCUCUGAGUCUGGUCUGGCUCGGCCACCCGAAGGACCCUCAACCAGGCCCUGUCCAGCUUUCUCGGUCUCCCUGUAGCUAGCCUUCCGCCUGAGGUGGAGGCCGGGCACUGAAUUGGAUGCUACCUCCCCAUUUGUCUGGCACUACAACUCUGACCCUGCAGUUCUGAAAGGUCACUCCGUUUGACUUGGGUUCCCCCAGGCAAUCCCGAUUCCCGCUAUUCACCCAGCCAACCCCAGUCUCCUGUUAAAGCUGUCUCACUCCGCCAGGGAAAUGGAAAGAGCCAUGGCCUAAAAUUCAGAAGCACGAGGUUUAAAUCGGGUUCUGCUACGGUCACUGUGUAAGCCCCUUCCCUUCUCUGGGCCUCAGUUUCCUUCUCUAUAAAAUGAAGGGGUUGGGACUCCAAGGUCCCUCCCAGA
rnacentral:lncRNA from 1 species